GCUGGGGGGCGCUCUCCCCGAGAGCUCCUAGAGCCCCGGGUCUCUGGGUGCCUGUAGUCAGGCGUGAUGACCUUUGACUUUUCCCAGGAUUGGGACUGCGCCCGCCUAAAUUCGGCCAGGUGGCUGGAGUCCUGGAGGCGGUGGGUGUGAUACUACCCGCACCUCCCGCCCAGCCGCGGGCCCUGAGGGUUAAUAUGAAACAUAGAAGCUGCCUCUACUCCUCCAAGACUGUGAAUUUGAAGUGUGGAAGCUGCAGACAACCUCAGUGAUUCAGGAAGAGGAACUGUUUUUAUGAGAAGGGGGGUGAAAAAGUGAAGAAGUUCUAUGAAAAACUUGACAAGAGCCUCCAAACCAAGGCAAACUGACAUUUGAUAUCCAUAACUAAUGUAAAGAAAGGUAUAUACAAGAGAAGACAGUGAAAAAGAUAUUGUAAAAUAUGAUUUGGACCAAAUAGAAUGUUUUUAGAGGAAAAAACUUUGAAACUCUUUUUUUC